GCCCGCCUAGCUCAAUCGGAUAGAGCGUCAGACUUUUACGAUUAGGCGGUUGUCUUGUGAACAUCUGAAGGCUGCGAGUUCGACCCUCGCGGUGGGCU
rfam:Phlebia centrifuga strain FBCC195 PHLCENscaffold_933, whole genome shotgun sequence.